rnacentral:rRNA from 1 species
UACGUAGGGGGCAAGCGUUGUCCGGAUUUAUUGGGCAUAAAGAGCGUGUAGGCGGCCUGACAGGUCUGCUGUGAAAACUCGAGGCUCAACCUCGAGAUGUCGGCGGAAACCGUCUGGCUAGAGUCCGGAAGAGGAGAGUGGAAUUCCUGGUGUAGCGGUGAAAUGCGCAGAUAUCAGGAAGAACACCUAUGGCGAAGGCAGCUCUCUGGGACGGUACUGACGCUGAGACGCGAAAGCGUGGGGAGCGAACAGG